GGCUUGUACUGCUGCCGUACUGCUCCCAAUGGAUGCUGCCCAGAAGCCGAGAGGACUGAAGCAACUGCAUGGAUAGUUGUUGGAGUGAUGGCUAUGUUAGCAGCUGGUGGAUACGGUUUCUGGAGGUACAAAGUCGCCCAAAGAAUGAUACGCUGGAGGCGGGACACGGACCGGCUGCCGCUGCCUGCCGCCUCCGGGGGGCGGGCCCUGCCCCCCGCCACCGUGAGGGCGCUGCCCGCGCCUCCAGGCUGGACUCCGGGCUCUGCCUUCGCCGCCGAGACUCCGCCCCACUCUCCAGACACUGCCUCCGCUUCUGAGACGGCGCCUCUCCUCUCACGAAUUAACCUCUAGCGGUCCACGCAUCAUUAACAUCAACUGCCAUGCUACUGUCUACACUCUGCAGAACGACGACGUCAGCUGUUUUUGCUUCCGCUAGUGUAAUCCGUACAGUAGUACUGUAAACUUUUUUAACGCUAUGAAUGUGUGUUAUGGAAAAGUAGACAUGAAUGUUACUUUAUAAUGCAAGUGUGUCCAACACUCAAAGGCGGGAACAGUGGACAAUCGCAAUUAAAUGCGAAAAUGGAAAUCGCAAAACUGUCAUGUGGAAUAAGAAUUCCUAUCUUAUUGAAGUAAGUAUUUUUUUUCUUGUGACAAGGCAUUAAUAAUGUCCUGUAUUUAGUAGUAUUUAUCAUUCAAGAAUUUGUUGGAGUUCAGUGAACAAUUUUUAUGUUACUAACAGGAGAACCAAAAAUAUAUCUUUAUUUAUUUACUACAUAAUACACUCACGGAUAAUCAGUACUAUAUAGCAGAGUAAUGUCUUAACAACAAUUUUUCCUUGGGCGGAACGUCGAAUUUUGUUAUUUCUGUGACCGUUGGUUACUUUUGGUCACGUUUGACGAUAAGUCCAUAUAACAUGCAAGAUAGUUAUGUUUCACUAAUUCGAAAAGUAAGUCACAAUUAUCGACCGAAAAUACAUUUUGUGGAGGCGGGAGAAGAUUUCCAAAGCGUUGCGACUAAUAACUUCAAGAAUAAAUGUCCCAGCAAGGAAAACGCGUAGCAGCAUGAG
rnacentral:misc_RNA from 1 species